UACGGCGGGUGCGAGCGUUGUCCGGAAUCAUUGGGCGUAAAGGGCGCGUAGGUGGCGGGACAAGCGUGCGGUGAAAGCUCGGGGCUCAACCCCGCGUCGGCCGUGCGAACUGUUUUGCUUGAGCACUGUAGAGGCAGGCGGAAUUCCGGGUGUAGCGGUGGAAUGCGUAGAGAUCCGGAAGAACACCGGUGGCGAAGGCGGCCUGCUGGGCAGUAGCUGACACUGAGGCGCGACAGCGUGGGGAGCAAACAGG
rnacentral:rRNA from 1 species